rnacentral:rRNA from 1 species
AUUGAACGCUGGCGGCAGGCCUAACACAUGCAAGUCGAGCGAGCGGCGGACGGGUGAGUAAUGUAUGGGGACUGCCCGAUAGAGGGGGAUAACUACCGGAAACGGUGGCUAAUACCGCAUACUAUCGGAUAACCCAUAUGGGAUUAGCUAGUAGGUGGGGUAAAGGCUCACCUAGGCGACGAUCUCUAGCUGGUCUGAGAGGAUGAUCGGCCACACUGGGGCUUAGACACGGCCCAGACUCCUACGGAGGCAGCAGUGGGGAAUAUUGCACAAUGGACGCAAGCCUGAUGCAGCCAUGCCGCGUGUGUGAAGAAGGCCUUAGGAUUGUAAAGUACUUUCAUCGGAGAGGCGUUACCCACCGAAGAAGCACCGACUAACUCCGUGCCAGCAGCCGCGGUAAUAC